AGUGGAUGGGGAGCAACCUAGUUGUGAGUGCGGAAAGGUAGUGCCAAGAAAAGCUGUCAGAAUGAUGAGAAUUGAGUCCCGGUACCCGAAACCGACACAGGUAGGCAAGUAGAGAAUACUAAGGGGCGCGAGGUAACUCUCUCCAAGGAACUCGGCAAAAUGACCCCGUAACUUAGGGAGAAGGGGUGCCACCGAGAGGUGGUCGCAGUGAAGAGGCCCAGGCGACUGUUUAGCAAAAACAUAGGUCUCUGCAAACUCGAAAGAGGAAGUAUAGGGGCUGACGCCUGCCCAGUGCCGGAUGGUUAAAGAAGUUUGUCAGGAGAAAUCUGAAGCUGGCGACUGAAGCCCCGGUGAACGGCGGCCGUAACUAUAACGGUCCUAAGGUAGCGAAAUUCCUUGUCGGGUAAGUUCCGACCCGCACGAAAGGCGUAACGAUCUGGGCGCUGUCUCGGAGAGAGGCUCGGCGAAAUAGGAUUGUCUGUGAAGAUACGGACUACCUGCAUUUGGACAGAAAGACCCUAUGAAGCUUUACUGUAGCUUGAAAUUGUGUUCGGGCUUCCUGUGCGCAGGAUAGGUGGGAGGCUAGGAAGGUCUGCUUGUGGGCAGAUUGGAGCCAACCGUGAGAUACCACUCUCAGGAGGCUAGAAUUCUAACUUAAUUAAGGACAGUUUCAGGUGGGCAGUUUGACUGGGGCGGUCGCCUCCAAAAAGGUAACGGAGGCGUACAAAGGUUCCCUCACACUGGUUGGAAAUCAGUGGCAGAGUGCAAAGGCAGAAGGGAGCUUGACUGCGAGACGGACAAGUCGAGCAGGGUGGAAACACGGUCUUAGUGAUCCGACGGUGCUGUGUGGAAGGGCCGUCGCUCAACGGAUAAAAGUUACUCUAAGGAUAACAGGCUGAUCUCCCCCAAGAGUUCACAUCGACGGGGAGGUUUGGCACCUCGAUGUCGGCUCAUCGCAACCUGGGGCGGAAGUACGUCCCAGGGGUUGGGCUGUUCGCCCAUUAAAGCUACGUGAGCUGGGUUCAGAACGUCGUGAGACAGUUCGGUCCAUAUCCGAUGUAGGCGUGAGAAUAUUGAGAGGAGCCUUCCUUAGUACGAGAGGACCGGGUAGGACGCACCGCUGGUGUACCUGUUAUGAUGCCAAUCGUAAACGCAGGGUAGCCAAGUGCGGAGAGGAUAACCGCUGAAAGCAUCUAAGUGGGAAGCCCACCUCAAGAUGAGUAUUCUGGUGUAAGGUCACGGGGAGACGACCCGUAGAUAGGCACGAGGUGGAAGUGCAGAGAUGUAUGAAGCCGAAGUGUACUAAUAGACCGUCGGCUUG
rnacentral:rRNA from 1 species